rnacentral:rRNA from 1 species
GACGAACGCUGGCGGCGUGCUUAACACAUGCAAGUCGAACGAAAAUACCAAGCUUGCUUGGUUGAUUAGUGGCGAACGGGUGAGUAACACGUGAGUAACCUGCCCCUUACUUUCCUGGAUAACUGCUCGAAAGGGUAGCUAAUACGGGAUAUUCUGACCAGCCUGCAUGGGUUGGUUUGGAAAGGUUGUUUUUCUGGUAAGGGAUGGGCUCGCGGCCUAUCAGCUUGUUGGUGGGGUGAUGGCCUACCAAGGCUUUGACGGGUAGCCGGCCUGAGAGGGUGGACGUUCACACUGGGACUGAGAUACGGCCCAGACUCCUACGGGAGGCAGCAGUGGGGAAUAUUGCACAAUGGGCGCAAGCCUGAUGCAGCGACGCCGCGUGAGGGAUGAAGGCCUUCGGGUUGUAAACCUCUUUCGUCAGGGAACAAGGCACUGCUUUUUUGGUGGUGUUGAGGGUACCUGGAUAAGAAGCGCCGGCUAACUACGUG